GCGAGUGUAGUAUAGUGGUAAUAUAUUUGCUUCCCAAGCAAGGGACGCGGGUUCGAUUCCCGCCACUCGCA
rnacentral:tRNA from 1 species